UACGGAGGGUGCAAGCAUUAAUCGGAAUUAUUGGGCGUAAAGGGCGCGUAGGCGGACUCGUAAGUCAGAUGUGAAAUUUCGAGGCUCAACUUCGAAGCUGCAUUUGAAACUACGAGACUUGAGGAUAGACGGAGAAAACGGAAUUCCACAUGUAGCGGUGAAAUGCGUGGAUAUGUGGAAGAACACCGGUGGCGAAAGCGGUUUUCUAGUUUAUUCCUGACGCUGAGGCGCGAGAGCGAGGGUAGCAAACAGG
rnacentral:misc_RNA from 1 species